rnacentral:tRNA from 1 species
GCCGGCGUAGCUCAGUGGUAGAGCAGCUGAUUCGUAAUCAGCAGGUCGAGGGUUCGACUCCCCCCGCCGGCUCCA